rnacentral:ncRNA from 1 species
AGCAACUCAUCGGGGAGCAAACCUUGUUGGUAUUGAUCUUGUCAAUGCCAUUGGGCGCUGAGACCUAACCGCUUAACGUUGUUGAGCAAACAGGGACCCGUAUUACCUGAACCAGAUAAUGCUGGCGUAGGAAUUGAGUCUGGAUAUUGG